rnacentral:lncRNA from 1 species
AGUCCUUUCACAUUAUUAGCCCCCUUCACCUGUGGAAAGACAGCCAUCAUUCCUAUUCUUCUAGGACAUUUUUGAACACCUGGAGCGUGUCCCAGCUGUCCAGAGCCCAGCACUACACCAGGGCUGUUCCUGUGGAAAGAAACUGAGCUGUUCCAGGCUCCUGUCGCCACCAAACCCUCAGGGACAGUGCUCCGCCAUGUCCAUCAGCCAGGGAGUAAAUGUGUUUCCACACAAGCUGGAAAACAGAGAUUUUUCCUCUGAGAAACCUUCGCAACAGGACAGAGCAACAUGAGAGGAGGAUAAGAAGCAUGCAUGCUUUUAAUACCACAAACCAAGCAUGAAGAUAAGACUUGUUCUGUCUUUGGAGCUUCCCAAGUGAGGGGGGAGCUUGCAGCAAGGCCC